CAAUAGCGUAUAUUAAAGUUGUUGCAGUUAAAAAGCUCGUAGUUGGAUUUCUGGUUGAAGCGACCGGUCGGGCGUUGAUUCGUCUGCACUGGAGUCGGUUUUGGCCAUCCUCUAGGAAAGUGCGUCUGGUAUUAAGUUAUCGGGCGUAUGAUCCUGGUCUUUUACUGUGAAAAAAUUAGAGUGUUUAAAGCAGGCCUUCGCCUUGAAUACAUUAGCAUGGAAUAAUAAGAUAGGACUUUGGUCUAUUUUGUUGGUUUGCAGACCGAAGUAAUGAUUAAUAGGUAUAGUUGGGGGUAUUUAUAUUCCGAUGUCAGAGGUGAAAUUCUUAGAUUUUCGGAAGAUAAACUUAUGCGAAAGCAUUUACCAAGGAUGUUUNCAUUA
rnacentral:rRNA from 1 species